rnacentral:rRNA from 1 species
GAUGAACGCUGGCGGCGUGCCUAAUACAUGCAAGUCGAGCGAACGGACGAGAAGCUUGCUUCUCUGAUGUUAGCGGCGGACGGGUGAGUAACACGUGGAUAACCUACCUAUAAGACUGGGAUAACUUCGGGAAACCGGAGCUAAUACCGGAUGAUAUUUUGAACCGCAUGGUUCAAAAGUGAAAGACGGUCUUGCUGUCACUUAUAGAUGGAUCCGCGCUGCGUUAGCUAGUUGGUAAGGUAACGGCUUACCAAGGCAACGAUGCAUAGCCGACCUGAGAGGGUGAUCGGCCACACUGGAACUGAGACACGGCCCAGACUCCUACGGGAGGCAGCAGUAGGGAAUCUUCCGCAGUGGGCGAAAGCCUGACGGAGCAACGCCGCGUGAGUGAUGAAGGUCUUCGGAUCGUAAAACUCUGUUAUUAGGGAAGAACAUAUGUGUAAGUAACUGUGCACAUCUUGACGGUACCUAAUCAGAAAGCCACGGCUAACUACGUG